GUGCUCGCUUCGGCAGCACAUAGACUAAAAUUGGAACAAUAGAGAAGAUUAGCAUGGCCCCUGCACAAGGAUGACACACAAAUUCGUGAUGCAUUCCAUAUUUUA
rnacentral:snRNA from 1 species